AGACAUAGUAUACACAAACACGAACACAAUAAACUUUGAGGUCCAAAAAUCACUGCAUCCUGAUCUCGAAAGAAAAACGAGAACCAAGGCUUUGCAAUAAACUGCACUGUUGAACACUAAAGAUUCGACACCUCAGUUUUGUUUCCAUCAAUACACAACUAGAUCUGAAAAAAUUUAAUAUCUUUAUGAAGAAGAAAAAAAUACACAAAAAUAAAGAACAAAUACGACUCCGGUGUUGUGUAAGCCACCAGAGUCGGAGUCGAAAAA
rnacentral:lncRNA from 1 species